ACGCCUUGACCCUUGGGUUUAUGUCAGGAAUUUGGACUCCAGAGUUAGCGAAAGGGAACUCGAAGAUGAAUUUCAGAUCUACGGUGUUCUUCGGAGAUAAGCUGUAGUUUGGUCAUUAGAAAUUUCCUGUGGGAAAAUCAUGGAAGGAACCUUCAAUAUAAAGCUAUAAGCCUGGGGUUCAACGCAUAUGGUUGAAUGCUUGGAUUCAAAACAUCAAAUACUAUUUAAAGAAAAUAAUCAAGAGGGACACAAUGCUGACAGCUGCUUCAGCAUGUUGUAUUACAUGUCACGAUUUGUGAGGUGAAGUUUUGUACUAGAAUGUUUUGGCUUUUACUCUUAUUUGUUUACCUAGGAAAGGCACCCUACUAAUUUUGGAGUUUAAAGGCAGUGUUAUGUUGUUUAUUAAUACUUUCGAGUUAGGUACUUUGUUUACGCAAUUGCAAGUCCACAGUAUUAUGCCCAUAUUCAUGUUCAUGAUUGUACAUGCAAGCUGCAAAUUAAUUUUUUGCCCUCAUUAGUUAUUUUCCUUGGAGAAUAGGAAUUUAGUUUCUAGGUAACCUGCAUCUCAGAUUUAAUGGCAGAAAUCCAAUAAUACAUUGCUAGAAAGCAGCCUAAUAGGAUAUUCCAGCAAUGAAUUUUUCAGCAAUCUUUGUCACGAUCUCUUCAGUCUCUCUGCAGUCUACGCUUAUUAUGUAUAGGUUUUUAAUCCCAAUCUUCUGUGAGAAGAAUAUAUGUUUAUGUUGCUUUCAUGUAUGUUUAAAUCUUUAUAUAAGCCAUUAGUUGCUUCAGCUGCUUGGAAUUCAUUUAUUUGUAUGACUUACCUGUCUGAAUUCGCUCGAGUGUCUAUGGCUCUUUAAUUUUAGUAGUUUUUGCUUUGCAUGUCAAGUACUUUCCCUUUUGACCUGGUCCAAACAUUUCUCUUAUGAGUUUAUUUUUUCCUACAUAUACUUUUGUAAUGGAUUUUGAUCGGUAUUAUGCAAUUAUUAUGAAACUCCAUCGGUUAGAUGAGUUAAAGGUUCUAUAUUGUGCUAGUGUCGACUAUAUAUAUAUAUAUAUAUAUAUAUAUAUAUAUAUAUAUAUAGUAGUUCAAAUUUGCCCCACUUUACUGCAGUUUUAUCAUCUAUUUUCCUUCUUCAUGCUUUUUGUAUUUAUCUGGUUAAAAGUUUCGGUUGUAGUUCAAAACCUUGCGUAUGUUCAAUUACCUUUCAUGGUUUACUGAUUUUGUCUUGUGAUGAUUUUCUUUAUCUUGCUUUAUAAACCUUUGAAACUUUUAUUAGGAUGUAAUCUAAUUUCAUAGGAAAAAAUGGCUGUCAAGCGGAGCUGUCUCAUAACUCUAAGAGUGGCAUGGAGGCCAUGGGGGUGGAUGUGGACGUGGUGGUGGUGAGGAUCUGAAGUGUUAUGAGUAUGGCGAACCUGGUCACUUUGCUUGGGAAUGUUGCUUAAGAAUUGGUUCAUGAGGCUAUCGAAGUGGAUGACAUCGAAGCCCUAGUCUUUGACAUCAUAGGAGUCCUAAUUAUGGAUGCAGAUGACCCAAAAUCUAUGAGUUCUUCAGGCGAAGGCAACACAAAGAAAUUAAGGGGAAACAAACAAUACUGCAGUUGCUGAAGAUCAACAGUGGCUCGAGGCAGGUGGUAGAAUUUAAUAUUUUGGCAGCUUGUUUUAUACAACAAUUAAAAAUUAUAAGCAUCCGCAGCAUCUGCAUACCUGACAUAGCUGGGGUUAGAAUUCCAUCCCCAAUUAUCAUGGAAGUUCCCAUCAGAACCAACAGCAAGAGAAGGGUUUUCAGGGAGGAACUCUUUUCCAAGGAGUCCUUUAUACCUAAAGCCCUCUCCAACUCUGGCGUGGGUAGUUUAAGCCUAAAACUGGAAAUCUUUUCAUCAGCCCGCUGGCGAUUUGGGAGAAGAUUAACUUUAGCAUACCUGCAAAUCAGCGAAUACAGUGCAAAUGUUCCUCCUGCAAUCGGAAUUAGUGUGCUUGUUAUCUACCAAAUGGCAAGCAUGUAAAGAAAGAAAAAUUAGCUUGGUCUGGAAAACCAUACCUUCCCCAUUGUCAUUGGCUUUAAGCACUAUAAAAACGUAUUUUGCUAAAGGAAGAAGAGCAAUUGUGUAUAUUACUAGUGACAAAGCCCCCAAGACAUCAACGUCUGACUUAAUAGGCACCUUGCUGAAAACAUCAGCAAAGACAUAUAAAGGGCUUGUGCCCAUGUCACCGUACACCACGCCCAGCGUUUGGAAAGCCAACGCCAGUGUGCUCCAGAGAGAAGCAUCCUGAUUUAUUACAGUAUAUGGUUUAGUUUAGUCAGAGAAGGAUAAUGCAUUUCAGUGAGAAUAUAUUUUUUUGGUUUGAUGCCUGCA